CCAGAGGCACAGAGCCACGCUACAUUUCUGCUGUUUCGGAUGGCAGGGAAAGUUACAAAUUCACACAGUUCUUCAGGGUUAUUAACGCUGGCGCGUACCGUCUGCAGAGUUUCAACUUCAGCUUGCAUUUACCUCUGGGGCUUGACUACGAAGGACGGCAGUACGGUGGGAUCCACUACGAAACGCCGAAGACGAGCACGCCAAACAAGGUGACGUGCGCCACCUCAUCUGGUUCUCCGACGAGCGGUGCGCCAUCUUCCCAGGGGUCACCG